AUACGUAGGAACCAAGCGUUGUCCGGAAUUACUGGGUGUAAAGGGUGCGCAGGCGGAUUUGUGCGUCAAGGGUUAAAUACCUCGGCUCAACCGAGGAAAUGCCUUUGAUACGGCAAGUCUUGAGUACGAGAGAGGAUGGUAGAAUUCCUGGUGUAGCGGUGAAAUGCGUAGAUAUCAGGAGGAAUACCCGUGGCGAAGGCGGCCAUCUGGCUCGUUACUGACGCUCAGGCACGAAAGCGUGGGGAGCAAACAGGAUUAGAUACCCCAGUAGUCC
rnacentral:rRNA from 1 species